AUUGAACGCUGGCGGCAGGCCUAACACAUGCAAGUCGAGCGGAUGAAGGGAGCUUGCUCCUGGAUUCAGCGGCGGACGGGUGAGUAAUGCCUAGGAAUCUGCCUGGUAGUGGGGGAUAACGUCCGGAAACGGGCGCUAAUACCGCAUACGUCCUGAGGGAGAAAGUGGGGGAUCUUCGGACCUCACGCUAUCAGAUGAGCCUAGGUCGGAUUAGCUAGUUGGUGGGGUAAAGGCCUACCAAGGCGACGAUCCGUAACUGGUCUGAGAGGAUGAUCAGUCACACUGGAACUGAGUCACGGUCCAGACUCCUACGGGAGGCAGCAGUGGGGAAUAUUGGACAAUGGGCGAAAGCCUGAUCCAGCCAUGCCGCGUGUGUGAAGAAGGUCUUCGGAUUGUAAAGCACUUUAAGUUGGGAGGAAGGGCGGUAAGUUAAUACCUUGCUGUUUUGACGUUACCAACAGAAUAAGCACCGGCUAACUUCGUG
rnacentral:rRNA from 1 species